rnacentral:rRNA from 1 species
CCAAUAGCGUAUAUUAAAGUUGUUGCAGUUAAAAAGCUCGUAGUUGAAUUUCGGGAUUAGUACGCUGGUCGUGCCUUCGGUACGUACUGGUGUUACUGAUUCCUACCUUCUGAAUAACCGGCAUGCCAUUAAUUUGGUGCGCCGGGGAAGCAGGACUGUUACCUUGAAAAAAUUAGAGUGUUUAAAGCAGGCUCACGCUUGAAUACAUUAGCAUGGAAUAAUGAAAUAGGACGUUCGAUCCUAUUUUGUUGGUUUUUAGGAUCAACGUAAUGAUUAAUAGGGAUAGUUGGGGGCAUUAGUAUUCAAUUGUCAGAGGUGAAAUUCUUGGAUUUAUUGAAGACUAACUACUGCGAAAGCAUUUGCCAAGGAUGUUUUCAUUAAUCAAGAACGAAAGUUAGGGGAUCGAAGACGAUCAGAUACCGUCGUAGUCUUAACCAUAAACUAUGCCGACUAGGGAUCGGAUGAUGUUAAUUUUUUAAUGACUCAUUCGGCGCCUUACG